GAUGAAGAACGCAGCGAAAUGCGAUAAGUAAUGUGAAUUGCAGAAUUCAGUGAAUCAUCGAGUCUUUGAACGCACAUUGCGCCCCCUGGUAUUCCGGGGGGCAUGCCUGUCCGAGCGUCAUUGCUGCCCUCAAGCCCGGCUUGUGUGUUGGGUCUCGUCCCCCUUCCCGGGGGGACGGGCCCGAAAGGCAGCGGCGGCACCGCGUCCGGGCCUCGAGCGUAUGGGGCUUUGUCACCCGCUCUGUAGGCCCGGCCGGCGCUUGCCGAUCAACCAAAACUUUUUUCCAGGUUGACCUCGGAUCAGGUAGGGAUACCCGCUGAACUUAAGCAUAUCAAUAAGCGGAGGA
rnacentral:misc_RNA from 1 species